CCUAAGGGCACCUUUGGUAGCCGAGGAUCCCAGGAGAAUACCGACCCAUUCCCUGCCUUCCAAACCCACGCGCUAAAUUAUCACAGAGCGAGAAAAAAAUUAUGUUUGGUGACCCAACUCCCCGGCCCAAUCCGUGGGAGAGAACAGGGCUUUCGCCCCCGGCCUCACAAGGUCGGGAAGGGUUUCCUCGAGCUCACCCUCUCCACUCGUGCACCCGCCGCCACUUCCUUUCUCUCGCGCACCCGACGUCGCAUCCUCUCUCGUGCAGUUGGGGCCAGCUGUUGGGCCGAGGUCGACGACGGGGUCGACCUCUCCGUGGAGACAGCCAAGGCGGCCGUGAGCCACGCCGCCACGAGCCACCACGAGCACGACGGCGAGCUCAGCGAUCUGGAGUCGGAUCUGGUGGGGCGGCAGAAGACUGGCUGCUCGUCGUCGCCGGCGGCAACAACGCCGGCUGCAGAGCUGAUCGUGCCGCCAGCACAGCAGAUCUAGCAAUUCCAGGUGGUACAAAAGGGUUUUUCAUCAACAAGUGGUCACCAAAAGAAGAACUGAAACAUCAAGAUGGUGUUUGCUUCUACGUUUUACCAUUGAGGAUAUGAUGGUAAACUGAAGUCAUGUAUUAUGCUAUGCAUUCAGAAGAUGAUGCUAAACUGAAUAAGCACAUUAAUCUGAUUUUUCUAUGCAUUGAGACUAUGUUUGUAUUAUUGUUAUGCAAUGCAAUCUAUGCACUAAAACGUUCAACUCUGUUUGAUCUGGAUGACAUAUUCAGAAUUAUAAUACGUUGCUGCCAA